UACGAAGGGGGCUAGCGUUGUUCGGAAUUACUGGGCGUAAAGCGCACGUAGGCGGACUAUUAAGUCAGGGGUGAAAUCUCGGGGCUCAACCCCGGAACUGCCUUUGAUACUGGUAGUCUCGAGUCCGGAAGAGGUGAGUGGAAUUCCGAGUGUAGAGGUGAAAUUCGUAGAUAUUCGGAGGAACACCAGUGGCGAAGGCGGCUCACUGGUCCGGUACUGACGCUGAGGUGCGAAAGCGUGGGGAGCAAACAGG
rnacentral:rRNA from 1 species